UAAUUCAUAUGUUGGUUGAGGAACAACUUCAGGCUGGUCAUAUAGAAUCAACGCUUAGUCCUUGGAACACCGCUAUUUUUGCUAUUAAGAAAAAGUCAGGUAAUUGGAAGUUACUACAAGAUUUAAGGGCAAUAAAUCAUGCAAUUCAGCCUAUGGGACCCUUGCAGCCUGGACUUUCUUCUCCUAUGGCAAUUCCUUUAAAUUAUAGCUUAAUGGUGAUAGAUCUAAAAGAUUGGUUUUUUUCCUCAAUAAAAUUGCAUCCUGAGGAUUGUGAAAAAUUUGCUUUCAG
rnacentral:sRNA from 1 species